rnacentral:rRNA from 1 species
CGAAAGCCUGACGGAGCAAGACCGCGUGGGGGAAGAAGGCUCUUGGGUUGUAAACCCCUUUUCUCUGGGAAGAACGCAAUGACGGUACCAGAGGAAUCAGCAUCGGCUAACUCCGUGCCAGCAGCCGCGGUAAGACGGAGGAUGCAAGCGUUAUCCGGAAUGAUUGGGCGUAAAGCGUCCGCAGGUGGCAGUUCAAGUCUGCUGUCAAAGACCGGGGCUCAACCUCGGAAAGGCAGUGGAAACUGAACAGCUAGAGUAUGGUAGGGGCAAAGGGAAUUCCUGGUGUAGCGGUGAAAUGCGUAGAGAUCAGGAAGAACAUCGGUGGCGAAGGCGCUUUGCUGGACCAUAACUGACACUCAGGGACGAAAGCUAGGGGAGCG